rnacentral:lncRNA from 1 species
GUGUUCGGAGGCGUCUGCCCUUGGCGUGGAUGUGUACAUGGGGUAGAAGGAGCAGCUCUCAUAGCCCCCUCCAGAACCAUGGGCUCACUACGCAGGAUAGUGACUGUCCCACUGUGAAGCACACAAUACUCAAGAAACCACAUUCCCUCAUGGAACACACAUUACCUCAAUGGAACACACUACCUCAAUGGAACACACAUUACCCAAUGGAAACACACAUUACUCAAUGGAAGCACACUUACCUCAAUGAAAACACACAUUACCUCAAUGAAACACACAUUACCUCAAUGAAACACACAUUACCUCAAUGGAAACACACAUUACCUCAAUGAAACACACUGACUGAGGAAACACACAUUACCUCAAUGGAAACACACAUUACCUCUAUGGAAACACACAUUACCUCAAUGGAAACACACUGACUGAGGAAGCAUUGCAGGGAACACACAUCCUAUGUUAUGUUACCUUGUAGAGAGCAUCUUUGAGGCUUUGUAAGGUGCUUCCCAGUUUGAGGCAGUAACAGAGCUGAACCAGUCCAUUAGGAUGAUGUAAUCUACGAACCCCCGUCUCCUUCCACGUCCUCUGGACGCAUCAGGUAGAUUGGCCUCAAUCUGGUUCACUGUGAUGUGUGGGAAAAGAAUGAUGACCUGUUACCCGUGCAGGGGUGCACAACACACGGCCCACGGGCUGAAUGUGGCCCAGAGAAGACAGCUUGUAGCCCGUAGUGAUUAUUAGUCGUUUUUAAUACAUUUAUUUGGGCAGGGUGCAGUGGAGACCUGGAUCAACCAUACAACCAUCCAUCCAUCGCUCCCUCCGUACCACAGGGUGAUAGCCCCUCUGGGACACUGAUGACAGUCUGGGUGGGGACCUGGAUCUGGAGUCCUGGAAGUCUCGGAGGCAGCGAGCGUCCAUCACAAUGACCGUAAGGGCCGCCCUCAUCAUCUUGAACAACCCCCUGCUGUGAUCCCUCCCGCUGACACCGCAGCUAGGGAGAGGGAGGAGGUACGGGAGGGGGGGAGGGAGGAGGUAGGAGGAUUGUACGGAGGGAUGGAGGAGGGAGGGAGGGGGUACGGAGAGGGAGGUAGGAGGGUUGUACGGAGGGAUGGAGGGAGGGAGGGAGGGAGGUACGGAGGGGGAGGGGAGGUAAGGGAGGGAUUGACGGAGGGAUGAGGGAGGGAGGGAGAGGUACGGAGGGAGGGAGGUAGGGAGGGAUUGUCGGAGGGAGUGGAGGGAGGGAGGGACGGAGGUACAGGGGGAGGGAGGUACAGAGGGAGGAGGUAGGGAGGGAGGGAGGUAGAGGUACAGAGGGAGGGAGGGAGGGAGGAGGGAGAUGGAGGGAGGGAGGUACAGAGGAGGGAGGGUACGGAUAGGAGGGAGGGAGGGGAGGUACAGAGGAGAAGGGAGGGAGGUAGCAAGAGGGAGGGAGGGAGGUACAGAGGCAGGGAGGGAGGU